rnacentral:lncRNA from 13 species
CCAACAACAAGAGCCAGAUUAUCUGAAGCAGCAGUCCUGAACCAAGCAGUUAAGCUCCAACAGUGCAAAGAAAAACCAGAAAUCUGCCAUGUUGUAAGCUGUCCUGUGAAGAGGGCCACAGGGCAAGAAACUCAUGCAACCAACAGCUAUUGAGGAGCUGAGGCUUGUUAGCAGCCAUUUGGUUAUAAAGAAAUGCAAGUACAACUACUAUGGAAAACCAUAUGGAGAUUCCUGAAAGAUCUAAAUGUAGAUCUACCAUUUGAUCCAGCAAUCCCACUCCUAGAUGAGGAAACUGACGCCCCAACGUUAAGUAACUCACACAAAGUAAUGUAUUUGGCAAAUGAUGGCCUUCGAAUUGCUAUUGCUUUUGUCUGAAUAUUGCGUUCUUUACCUAAACAAAAGAUGUAGUUGCUUACCAUAUGCAAAGUCUACCUGGAAAGAGGAAUAACAUCAUACUAUAAUUGAAAGAAAAUUUCUUUAUUUUGUAAAUGAGAAAAGAGCUACAGAAAGGUAAAGUGAUUUGUUCUAGGUAAUAAACUAGAAAUUUACAGACGUGGGACUAGGGCA